rnacentral:rRNA from 1 species
CCUACGGGGGGCUGCAGUGGGGAAUAUUGGACAAUGGGCGAAAGCCUGAUCCAGCCAUGCCGCGUGUGUGAAGAAGGCCUUCGGGUUGUAAAGCACUUUCAGUGGGGAAGAAAGCCUUGGGGCUAAUACCCUCGAGGAAGGACAUCACCCACAGAAGAAGCACCGGCUAACUCCGUGCCAGCAGCCGCGGUAAUACGGAGGGUGCGAGCGUUAAUCGGAAUUACUGGGCGUAAAGCGCGCGUAGGCGGUCUGAUAAGCCGGUUGUGAAAGCCCCGGGCUCAACCUGGGAACGGCAUCCGGAACUGUCAGGCUAGAGUGCAGGAGAGGAAGGUAGAAUUCCCGGUGUAGCUGUGAAAUGCGUAGAGAUCGGGAGGAAUACCAGUGGCGAAGGCGGCCUUCUGGACUGACACUGACGCUGAGGUGCGAAAGCGUGGGUAGCAAACAGGAUUAGAUACCGAGUAGU